GACGGGGGGGGCAAGCGUUGUCCGGAAUUACUGGGCGUAAAGGGCUCGUAGGCGGCCAACUAAGUCGGACGUGAAAUCCCUCGGCUUAACCGGGGAACUGCGUCUGAUACUGGAUGGCUUGAGUUUGGGAGAGGGAUGCGGAAUUCCAGGUGUAGCGGUGAAAUGCGUAGAUAUCUGGAGGAACACCGGUGGCGAAGGCGGCAGCCUGGACCAGCACUGACGCUGAGGAGCGAAAGCCAGGGGAGCAAACGGG
rnacentral:rRNA from 1 species